UACGUAGGGGGCGAGCGUUGUCCGAAGUUACUGGGCGUAAAGCGCGCGUAGGCGGUCCUUUAAGUCCGGGGUGAAAGGUUCAGCGCUCAACGUGAACAGUGCCCUGGAGACUGGGGGACUUGAGUGUGGGAGGGGGCAGUGGAAUUCCUGGUGUAGCGGUGAAAUGCGUAGAUAUCAGGAGGAACACCGAUGGCGAAGGCAGCUGCCUGGCCUGGACACUGACGCUGAGGUGCGAAGACGUGGGGAGCGAACGGG
rnacentral:rRNA from 1 species